UAAAGACCUCUCACUAUACCGGUCAAUACAAACAACAGUUUAAAAUCCAAAGAAUUUGGCGGUAUCUUAAAUAAUCAGGGGAACCUGUACCUUAAUUUGAUAAUCCACACACAUCUAACCAUAUUUUGAAUCUCAGCCUGUGUACUGCUGUCGUCAGUAAACCUCUAAAAGUCAGUUUACAAUAAUACAAUUAUAAUUACGUCAAGUCAAAGUGCAGCCUAUAAUAUGGGGGUUAUGGGUUACUAUUCUAACAAGAAAACGAAUUAUUAAAAUAAUAAUAAUAUGAAGGUGGACUUGACAGUACAUAUUUAUAAAGAAAUAAUAUAAACAAUAACCUAAGAUAUGCACACAUCGCCCGUCGCUCUCGCUUAAAUUG
rnacentral:rRNA from 1 species